rnacentral:sRNA from 1 species
UAGCAUUUAGUGUAUGGCUAAUUUUCCCCACUACUGAGGCAAGGCUCUUCUUGGUUCUUUUACAAAUGCCCGAUCAUGAGGUUUUUCACUCUGGCUGUUGGGACCAGGACAAGGCACUGCUCCUGGCACAAGGAGGAGGAUGACUAUCUCUUUGAUGAUCCUCUGCCAAUACCUUUAAGGCACAAAGUUCCAUACCAGGAAACUCUUCACCCUGAGGUAUUUUCAAUGACUGUAGUAUCAGAAAAGCAGCCUGAAAAACUGAGACAAACCCCAGGAUGCUGCAGAGCGGAG